UGUACACACCGCCCGUCGCUACUACCGAUUGAAUGGUUCAGUGAGGCUUUCGGACUGGCCCAGGGAGGUCGGCAACGACCACCCAGGGCCGGAAAGUUAUCCAAACUCGAUCAUUUAGAGGAAGUAAAAGUCGUAACAAGGUCUCCGUUGGUGAACCAGCGGAGGGAUCAUUGCUGGAACGCGCUUCGGCGCACCCAGAAACCCUUUGUGAACUUAUACCUAUUGUUGCCUCGGCGCAGGCCGGCCUCUUCACUGAGGCCCCCUGGAAACAGGGAGCAGCCCGCCGGCGGCCAACCAAACUCUUGUUUCUACAGUGAAUCUCUGAGUAAAAAACAUAAAUGAAUCAAAACUUUCAACAACGGAUCUCUUGGUUCUGGCAUCGAUGAAGAACGCAGCGAAAUGCGAUAAGUAAUGUGAAUUGCAGAAUUCAGUGAAUCAUCGAAUCUUUGAACGCACAUUGCGCCCUCUGGUAUUCCGGAGGGCAUGCCUGUUCGAGCGUCAUUUCAACCCUCAAGCCUGGCUUGGUGAUGGGGCACUGCCUGUAAUAGGGCAGGCCCUGAAAUCUAGUGGCGAGCUCGCCAGGACCCCGAGCGUAGUAGUUAUAUCUCGCUCUGGAAGGCCCUGGCGGUGCCCUGCCGUUAAACCCCCAACUUCUGAAAAUUUGAC
rnacentral:rRNA from 1 species